rnacentral:rRNA from 1 species
ACGCUCGACACCUACGGGGCAGCAGUGGGGAAUAUUGCACAAUGGGGGAAACCCUGAUGCAGCAACGCCGCGUGAAGGAAGACGGUUUUCGGAUUGUAAACUUCUGUUCUUAGUGAAGAUAGUGACGGUAGCUAAGGAGCAAGCCACGGCUAACUACGUGCCAGUAGCCGCGGUAAUCUGAGCGGGCUGGCAAGGC